rnacentral:rRNA from 1 species
GACAGAGGGUGCAAACGUUUGUUCGGAAUUACUGGGCGUAAAGCGCGUGUAGGCUGUCUCGAAAGUCGGAUGUGAAAGCCCUGGGCUCAACCUAGGAAGUGCAUUCGAAACUUCGAGACUCGAGUCCUGGAGAGGAUCGCGGAAUUCUCGGUGUAGAGGUGAAAUUCGUAGAUAUCGAGAGGAACACCGGUGGCGAAGACGGCGAUCUGGGACAGUGACUGACGCUGAGACGGCGAAAAG